UGUAAUAAUAAAUUAAGAGUCUAAAUACUAUGAGAAUUUUUGAAUUUUUUGUAAUGUGACUUCCUUUAUCCGAAUCUUUUAUUGAAUCGGAUAAGGAUGUUACCCUCCCUUUCCCUCUUUCCAUCUUCUCCCUCGUCCCUCUCGGCUUUGGUUCUUCCUUGAUGGUAGUUAAACAACAUCGAUUUUUACUUUUUUUUUCUUAAAAAUAUACACGUGGAACAUCUGUUUGGAAUUUAAGCAGAAAGAGAUGGUCGAAUCCAAAGAACAACAUGAAGAAUUGACGAAUUUAGAUCCAUCUGUCAAGGUAAACUCAAUUUAGUUUAACAUAAUUCUCAUAGUUUUAAAGCUAACUUUUAGCAUAUUUCUAUGAACUUUUUUCGGGUUUUCUUUUAAUCUUUAGCAAAGUUGAAAACUGAAUUUGCUUUCUGGUUUAACUUAGUUUUCAUUUUUUUCUUUUAACAAAUAGGAAGUCCAUAAAUAGUCAAGAAAAAGAAGUGGAUUAAGCAUUGAGGCAAAAACAGUGUAACAUAGUUAAGGAGCCCAUUGCUCCAACAUAGAGUGUUGGAUUAUGAAGAACCAAAGCUGAAGGGACGGCGGAGAAUAUGGAUGGGGGAGUGGGAGGUACGAGGUAGGGUGGCUGGAGUGGUGGGGGAUUUUUAUUUUAUUUAAUAUUAAUAUAAAAUUUAAAUUUAUUAUUAUAUUUAAAAAAAUUUAUAUAUUUAAAAUAUGGGUAAACUAUCAAAAUAGUCACUUUUGUUUACCUCAGAUUACGUUUUAGUCACUUACGUUAACGUGUUGUAACAUUUUAGUAAUUGAGUUGUUACUUGUCAUUAGGGUAAACUACCAAAAUAGUCACU
rnacentral:lncRNA from 1 species